GAGAUGUGAUGAUGUUUACAUUGGUCCGUGUUUCUGAUUCACCUUGACAGACAACCUCUUCCAAUUUCUGAUCUC
rfam:Medicago truncatula strain A17 chromosome 3, whole genome shotgun sequence.